AGCCUAACCCUUUUUACAAAGGUAUGGCACAAAAAACCUACCACAGGGAUAUAGAGCUCCUCGUCAGAGCACCUGUGGUAGGUUAAUACCCGAAAGGGGUAUAUGUAGCCAGAAAUGGCUAU
rnacentral:sRNA from 12 species